rnacentral:rRNA from 1 species
GGGCCGCACGCGCGCUACACUGACGGAGCCAGCGAGUAUAACCUUGGCCGAGAGGUCUGGGUAAUCUUGUGAAACUCCGUCGUGCUGGGGAUAGAGCAUUGCAAUUAUUGCUCUUCAACGAGGAAUUCCUAGUAAGCGCAAGUCAUCAGCUUGCGUUGAUUACGUCCC